AAAGUUCUGUGUGAACAAAGGCCUGUUGUUGGAACAGUGUGGAGCUGGCCCUGUGGAGACUGCUCCCCGUGGGGCGCGCUCUGUCACCUGCCCCAGUGGAGACUGCUCCCCGUGGGGCGCGCUCUGUCACCUGCCCCAGUGGAGACUGCUCCCCGUGGGGCGCGCUCGGUCCCCGGCCCCAGUGGAGACUGCUCCCCGUGGGGCGCGCUCUGUCACCUGCCCCAGUGGAGACUGCUCCCCGUGGGGCGCGCUCGGUCCCCGGCCCCAGUGGAGACUGCUCCCCGUGGGGCGCGCUCUGUCACCUGCCCCAGUGGAGACUGCUCCCCGUGGGGCGCGCUCGGUCCCCGGCCCCAGUGGAGACUGCUCCCCGUGGGGCGCGCUCUGUCACCUGCCCCAGUGGAGACUGCUCCCCGUGGGGCGCGCUCGGUCCCCGGCCCCAGUGGAGACUGCUCCCCGUGGGGCGCGCUCUGUCCCCCUGCCCCAGUGGAGACUGCUCCCCGUGGGGCGCGCUCGGUCCCCGGCCCCAGUGGAGACUGCUCCCCGUGGGGCGCGCUCGGUCCCCGGCCCCAGUGGAGACUGCUCCCCGUGGGGCGCGCUCUGUCACCUGCCCCAGUGGAGACUGCUCCCCGUGGGGCACGCUCUGUCCCCUGCCCCACUACCUCUUGUUUACGUGGCGUUUGUGUGAAAGCUGGGACUGUUCUGCGCACAGGCUGGGGUGCGGUCGGUCAGACCUGGGCCCUGCAUGAGAGAGGGCAGUGGCUUAAGCAGCUCCCUGAACAGGAAAGUGCUGUGCAUGCGGACGCGCCCUGCAGGCGGGGGGGCGCGGGGCCCUGCGAGCCUCUGAAGGUCCAAAGAGUUUCUCCCGAGUUUUCUGACCAUCAUUUCUCAGGCUGUGAGAGUUGCCUCACUGUAGUAGAUUCUACUGGAGACAGCUUUUCACUCCAGUUCCUACUUUCAGGGGCUGACCCUGCAGGGAGCUGGGUGUUGCUCCCCGACCCCCGGCAUGAGUUGGUCGUGGCAGAGUCCUGGAGAGGGUUGACAGAGGCUGAUGUCCUGGACCCACAGGGCCUGGGUGCAUGUGCUCGGGAGAGGCGAUAG
rnacentral:lncRNA from 1 species